AUUUAGGUAGUUUAAUAAAAAUUUUGAUUUGUGGUGUCAAAGAUAUAUGAAAGUAUCCUAGAUU
rnacentral:tRNA from 1 species